rnacentral:rRNA from 1 species
UACGUAGGCAGCGAGCGUUGUUCGGAGUUACUGGGCGUAAAGGGCGCGUAGGCGGCCUGCUAAGUCAGACGUGAAAUCCCUCGGCUUAACCGGGGAACUGCGUCUGAUACUGGAUGGCUUGAGAUUGGGAGAGGGAUGCGGAAUUCCAGGUGUAGCGGUGAAAUGCGUAGAUAUCUGGAGGAACACCGGUGGCGAAGGCGGCAUCCUGGACCAACACUGACGCUGAGGAGCGAAAGCCAGGGGAGCAAACGGG